rnacentral:tRNA from 10 species
GCAGGGAUGGAGCAAGAGUAGGCUCGCCAGGUUCAUACCCUGGAAAUCAGUGAGUGCAAUUCUCACCCCUGCCACCA